AGGGCCAGAAUUGCUGGGCCUUCAUAACCCCAAUGAUUGGCUAUGGGCUUCCCUGGAAAGAGGCAUGACUUAGACAAAGCAGCUGAGGCCAUCCCUGAACAGGCUGGCAGCUACAGCAAAAGUCCUUCAUUAACACGGGCACAUGCCAGUGACUUCCACAACAAUGAAACUGCGGUAGAGUGAGGAGACGGAGCUAGAGAAAUGUUAGACAAUCAGCGAAUCCCAGUUCUGCUUCUGCUUUUAACAAUGGUAAGCAGUCCAUGUGCCUUAAGGCCACCGUGCUGCGAGGAAGCCCAAACUAAUGCAUGUUGGAAGACCACGUGGUAAGGCUAUGACAGCGAGGUGCCCGGCCAGUCCCCAUCUGCUUCAGCACUCCCUUCUUCCCAGCCCCAGCCAUCAUUUGACUGCAACCAUAUGAGAAACAGCAUGAGUGAGAACCAUUCAGACCCUUGAGACAGAGUAUAUUUGAUCACAACCUUGACUAUGGGUCCAGCUACAUGACUUCUUUCAGCCGAAAGGAUUUUAGAAAAUGUAACACAAGUAAAGGCGUAAAAUGAGCCUUUUUGUCUGGCCCU